GGUCGGUCUCUGCCUCGCCUAGGCCGGCGGCUCCGGACUAGCCGCCCUGCGCCCGCUCUCAGGAUCCCUCUCAGCUCUCCAGCUUGCUAAGUCCCCUGGAGAGAGCCAAGCAAUGCUUUUGCAGGUGGAGGAUGGCUGCGGGACCUCCCGCGCCCUCUCUGGGAGGGAGACGCGGCUCAGACCUGUUCGGGCGAAGAGGCGGCUCAGCCCCUGGCUUUUUCAGGCGUGUGCGCAGGAGCUGCGGUAGAUGGAGGGAGAUUUGACCAGGGAGGGGAAAAGGGAGAUGAGAUGACAGAAGCAGAGACUGGAGUGAUGUGCUUGAAGAUGGAGGAAGGGUCCACAAGCCCCACAAGCUAAAAAGCUGGGAAAGGCAAGGAAGAGAUUAUCUCUUGGAACCCCCAGAAGGAAUCAGCCUGCUGACACCUUGAUUUUAGGCUGUUAAGUCUCAUUUUGAACCUCUGGCCUCUGCAAGUAUAAGAGAAUAAAGAGUUCUUGCUUUAAAAUAGUGAAUAAGUGAUUUGUGACAACAACAAGAGGAAACUAAUACAAGCAGUUAUGCCUACACUAAGUUCCAGAUAAGGAUCACGCAUUAGUGAGCUAGGCAAAAAGACUGGAAGACAGGGCCAGAAGUGGAAGUUAAGACUGAAGGGUAGCAAGGUCCAGAUCCAACAGGAUUUGUGAGGGAGGAGAGGGAGGGCAGGAGGGCAGUGAAUUUAAGCCCGAGGGCACCAGAAAGCCAUUGAAGCAGGAGUGACCUGACCAAGAUCUACAUUUUUGCACAAUAACCCCACCUGCUCUGUGGAGAGCACAUCAGGGGAACCAGUGCUGGUGGCAGAAGACAGUCAUUUAUUUGCUUUAUCCCAGGAGAAAAGUAGAAAGGCAAUAUUCCAGGGUCCUGGCAAUAUGUAGUGGAAUCAACGGGACUUGGUGAUGGCGCGCCUCUGAUAAGAGACAUCCACUCCAUCAGCAACAUCAGCUGCACCAACCCUGAUCGUCGAUGGUACCUGCAGAGGACAUAACCUGCUUAGCCACCUAUCCGGAAUUGAGACAAACUAGGGAAGUCUAAAGGAACAGGCAAGGUGCCUGUGAAGACCGGGUGCUACCCAUUGGAUGCCUUCUUCCAAAUCCUGUAUUGCCAAGACCAUCAUGUCCUUUGUAAUUUGAG